GUGAGAGUGUGUGUGUGUGAGAGUGUUUAUUCAUGUCGAGGUUGUGCUAAAGUCCAGACUGAAGGCUGUGUUUUUGUUUUUUGUCUCUGAUUUGUUUCCUCCGUUACGUCUCGGUGAGGACGCGAGGACGCGAGGACGUGAGGACGCGAGCGAGCGAUCGGAGCAGAGGAGGAAAACUGAGAAUUGGUUUUAUGUAAAUGAGCGGAGCGCGGUCGGAGCAGAAGCGGCGUCUCUGUCUGAUUAGGCCGGGUUUCUGUCUGAUUCAUCAGGAAUUAAAUCGUCUCG
ensembl:lncRNA